rnacentral:rRNA from 1 species
GGCUAGCGUUGCUCGGAAUGACUGGGCGUAAAGGGCGCGUAGGCGGCUCAUACAGUCAGAUGUGAAAUUCCUGGGCUUAACCUGGGUGCUGCAUUUGAUACGUGUGGGCUUGAGUGGGGAAGAGGGUCGUGGAAUUCCCAGUGUAGAGGUGAAAUUCGUAGAUAUUGGGAAGAACACCGGUGGCGAAGGCGGCGACCUGGUCCUUGACUGACGCUGAGGCGCGAAAGCGUGGGGAGCAAACAGG